rnacentral:lncRNA from 1 species
AGUGACGGAAGGUUGCUGGGUGUAGUCAAGUACUUGACUUGUCGGUGCGUGUGUCAAGAUGGGAUUGACCACUCCAGUUUAGGAGCUGUGUACAGUCAUGUUUUAAUUUAGCAAAAUCUUGGCCAAGGUAGUCCUAGUGAGGAGUCACAGGACUGUUUGAGUUGAGCACGAUUCGGAUGAUCUAAUCAGGGUUGACAGUUUAACCUUGAGUCAUCCUAAAC